rnacentral:tRNA from 1 species
GACAGUUUGUCCGAGUGGUUAAGGAGAAUGACUAGAAAUCAUUUGUGAAUUUCACGCACAGGUUCGAGUCCUGUAACUGUCGCCA